rnacentral:tRNA from 1 species
UUUCAGAAAAUAGUAUAAUUAUUAUUUAAAUAUUGGGAAUUUAGGAUGAUUUCUUUUCUGAUAUU